UUAUCGAAGCUGCAGCUGCUUCCACAUAGCCGCUGUGGUCAAAAAGGAGCCCAGAGUAACAGUUUUCCUCGACGGUCGCCGUUCUGUUUGCUGUAACGGAUCUGCAACAUUUCGGGAAAAGACAGUUCUGCUUACCUUUCCUCAGGCUGGCAGACACGUGCUGCUGCUGCAGCUGAAUAAGCUUGGAAGUGCCGCGGGCACGCUGGGUGGGUUGGGUUCCUGUAGGACAGUCCAGGGGCAUCGGUAUCUGCACGCCUCUGAUGCUGAGGGCACAAAUAAAGGCACUGGAAGGUCACUCAAAAGCUGUUUCAUUUUAGCUGUGCCAGGUGAGGAUGUCGGCAUGACUGAACUCUGAUGACCGAGGGACCACGGACUCAACAGUCUAGCAGCUGAUUACCUUGGAGUUUUGUGGCAUAAUCUGAAACUGAAGGAUCUGAAGCUACCAUCUUGUUGGAUCUGCUUUAUAAGAUCUGUUACCAGUAAAGCUGUCUGCAUCUUGAGUUUGAAAACUGAGCAGACUGAAUGAAAGCCAAGGCCUCCUUUUGUUAGUGCUGGUACCUGACAUACAAGAAGUCAAUAGGCCCUCUCUGAUGGCAGCACCAUGAAGCUAUCCACAGCCACUGCAGCAUGAAUUUGAUACCCAGCCAGGGAGC